rnacentral:rRNA from 1 species
UACGAAGGGGGCUAGCGUUGCUCGGAAUCACUGGGCGUAAAGGGUGCGUAGGCGGGUCUUUAAGUCAGGGGUGAAAUCCUGGAGCUCAACUCCAGAACUGCCUUUGAUACUGAAGAUCUUGAGUUCGGGAGAGGUGAGUGGAACUCCGGAGUGUAGAGGUGAAAUUCGUAGAUAUUCGGAAGAACACCAGUGGCGAAGGCGACUCACUGGCC